AUGAGCAACUUAAAUCUUCUGAGUUGGAAUUGCCGAGGAGGAGGGAACCCUCGGACUGCUCGUGAUCUUGUGAGCUUGGUGCAGACCCAUUCUGCUAGUAUUGUUUUCCUUUGUGAAACUAGGCAAUCAAAAGAUAAAAUGAAGAGAUAUCGACCCCGUUUAGGUCUUGGUGGUUUUGAUGCAGUGGACAGUACCGGUCUAAGUGGAGGGUUAGCUCUCUACUAG
rnacentral:rRNA from 1 species